UUGCUCUUCGAUUCAGCGGCGGACGGGUGAGUAAUGCCUAGGAAUCUGCCUGGUAGUGGGGGACAACGUUUCGAAAGGAACGCUAAUACCGCAUACGUCCUACGGGAGAAAGCAGGGGACCUUCGGGCCUUGCGCUAUCAGAUGAGCCUAGGUCGGAUUAGCUAGUUGGUGAGGUAAUGGCUCACCAAGGCGACGAUCCGUAACUGGUCUGAGAGGAUGAUCAGUCACACUGGAACUGAGACACGGUCCAGACUCCUACGGGAGGCAGCAGUGGGGAAUAUUGGACAAUGGGCGAAAGCCUGAUCCAGCCAUGCCGCGUGUGUGAAGAAGGUCUUCGGAUUGUAAAGCACUUUAAGUUGGGAGGAAGGGCAGUAAGAUAAUACCUUGCUGUUUUGACGUUACCGACAGAAUAAGCACCGGCUAACUCUGUGCCAGCAGCCGCGGUAAUACAGAGGGUGCAAGCGUUAAUCGGAAUUACUGGGCGUAAAGCGCGCGUAGGUGGUUUGUUAAGUUGGAUGUGAAAGCCCCGGGCUCAACCUGGGAACUGCAUC
rnacentral:rRNA from 1 species